rnacentral:rRNA from 1 species
AUUGAACGCUGGCGGCAUGCUUUACACAUGCAAGUCGAACGGCAGCACGGGCUUCGGCCUGGUGGCGAGUGGCGAACGGGUGAGUAAUAUAUCGGAACGUACCCAGAAGUGGGGGAUAACGUAGCGAAAGUUACGCUAAUACCGCAUACGAUCUAUGGAUGAAAGCAGGGGACCGCAAGGCCUUGUGCUCCUGGAGCGGCCGAUAUCUGAUUAGCUAGUUGGUGAGGUAAAGGCUCACCAAGGCGACGAUCAGUAGCUGGUCUGAGAGGACGACCAGCCACCCUGGAACUGAGACACGGUCCAGACUCCUACGGGAGGCAGCAGUGGGGAAUUUUGGACAAUGGGCGCAAGCCUGAUCCAGCAAUGCCGCGUGAGUGAAGAAGGCCUUCGGGUUGUAAAGCUCUUUUGUCAGGGAAGAAACGGUAGAGGCUAAUAUCCUUUGCUAAUGACGGUACCUGAAGAAUAAGCACCGGCUAACUACGUG